rnacentral:rRNA from 1 species
UACGUAGGGAGCAAGCGUUGUUCGGAUUUACUGGGCGUAAAGGGCGCGUAGGCGGCCUGUUAAGUCGAACGUGAAAUCCCCGGGCUCAACCCGGGAACUGCGUCCGAUACUGGCAGGCUUGAAUCCGGGAGAGGGAUGUGGAAUUCCAGGUGUAGCGGUGAAAUGCGUAGAUAUCUGGAGGAACACCGGUGGCGAAGGCGGCAUCCUGGACCGGUAUUGACGCUGAGGCGCGAAAGCCAGGGGAGCAAACGGG